GGAAAAACCUUAUUACUAUAAUAAAUUAAUAUAAGAAGUACAAAACACCAAUGUAAACCUAUAAUAUUAUAACCAAAACAUGUACCAGCUGUCUCUGUUGUUUCUAUACCUAAUUAAAAAAAAUGUCAUCUUAAAAUAACAUAAAAAAUUAUCAUACAGAAAAAGUAGUAAAUAUGGACUUCAUUCACUAUUGUCUAGUUUUUUGUAGUGUAGAUCCAAUCAUCUUGAGCUCGAAUCUCUUCACAGUUCCAGCAAUGUCUCUCAUGGUUGAGUCCACUUCAUAGGGGAUUUGGUCAACGGUGAUCGUCGUGGCGUUGACUAGCUGUCGACAUGGCUCCCUGUGUUCGGCUAUCGUCCCGUGAUAGUGGAAAUACUUGAUCCUUCCUUCCGUCUUGUGAGUCGUCUUGCCCACCGUGUUCUGUGACAUGUGCACCCCCGUUGCUAUCACAUUGCGCGGUUGCACCGCGUAUUUCCUGUCCCUUCUUAUUCCUCUCUUCACGUCCUUGUAGACUAGUUUCUCAAAUCCCCAUUUCCUGUAGGAUUUUCCGCGGUCUUCUUCUAAACAGAGCUUGUUGGACAUUGGCAUUUGUUCAAUGGUGAACUGUGUAUAAUCGGAUAACGAAUCAACCACAGACUUAAUAGUACUCUUCUUAGGUACAAAUAUGAACUCAUCCACAUCGAAGAAAAACAUCCAUUUGGCUUGAAAUCUGUAUUUAUGCAAACAAUCAUUCACAAUGAGAAAUUGAUUGUGAUAAUAGCCAUCAAACCUUUCCUGAUCUCUGAUAUCCUCUAGUGUAACAUAUCCUUUCUCAAUCCAUGGUUUCAACACCGCCAUUACUCCUUCGUGUACACCUCCAGCAUCAUGAAUUACAAAAUGAGACUUCACUCCGAACAGUCUAACGUGAAACGCAAGCCAUUCCCGUACUCUCUGUGGACUCAAAUUACCAUACAAGGAUGAACCGCAGUAGAGGAAAUCGUACUUUGGUGGUUUAUUGAAUGUUGAAAUGAAGUUUGUGAAAUCUCUCUCUGAUUCUGUUAAAGCCAAAAAAGUGUCGGUGCUAUUGAAUUCACUAUCACCACCGCCAUUAGUAGUAGCGUGAAUCAGUAACUUUCCGCCAUCACGAACUGGGAUUGGGAAAGUGCAAUUUACAAC
rnacentral:misc_RNA from 1 species